CAAGGACCUCACAGUCCAGCAGGAAAGACAGACAAAUAAAUCCAUAACCAAGUGACCGUGGGAUAAGGGCAGUGGCCUGCAGUGGUAUUCCAAGAGCACUGUAGAAUGCUGAGGAGGGGCUUCUCCUUCUGACUGAGGGGCGGGCAAGCUGGGAGAGGAAGGAGCUCAGGGGCUGCUUCCUCCCCUGAUGUUGACUUGACUGUUGACUUGAGUGAGUUGAAACCUCCUCUGAGCAAUCUCCAUGUUGUAUGUCCUGUUUGUCCCCACUACUGCUGUCCCUCUUCAGAAACUCAUCACUUCUUAUCAGGAAAUGUGUAAAAUGAGAAAAAGAAAGAGAGGAUGGAGGCCAGAGCAGAAGCCAGUGGAGCCUGAGAAGGAGCUGCAGUGGAGCAGAAGCCUCAGGUUGAGAUGAUGACAUUACAAGAUGAAAAUAGCAUGGAUCACUGGAAGCAAGCUGCCUGGGGGAGCCACUUGACCUGCAGUGGACGUUGCAUGAGAAAGAAAUGUACUUUUAAGUGAUCGGCCACUGACGUUCAGUGUCAAUAAAUAGAUAGUAGAAACAUUUCAAGGAGAUCAUAAAAGGAAGAGGAAGAUAUGGGGCAGAGUGAUUGGCCAGGCCUCAUGAUGAAGAGGAUAAAUGGGUCCAGAAAUAGGAAUUGUAUGAUGCUGGUGUACGAUCUAUUGAUGCUGGACGUGGAGGAGAACCAAGAGUCAAGACAUGGAUUGAAAACGAAAAGCUGAAAAAGCUCACAAGAAGACAACAGGGGCCAGCUCCAAGGCUCAGUGUGUCUAGAGAAGAG
rnacentral:lncRNA from 1 species